ensembl:lncRNA
UUUUUUUUAUUUUUGGAGACAGGGUCUUGCUCUGUUGCUCAGGUUGAAAUGCAGUGGCAUGAUCUUGGCUCACUGCAACUUCCACUUCCUGGGUUCAAGUGAUCCUCCAACCACAGCCUCUUGAGUAGCUGGCAAUAUAGGCGCACGCCACCACGCCCAGCUGAUUUUUGUAUUUUUUUAGAGACAAGGUUUCACCAUGUUGGUCAGGCUGGUCUUGAACUCCUGACCUCAGGUGAUCUGCCCUCCUCAGCCUCCCAAAGUGCUGGGAUUACAGGCAUGAGCCACCACAUGGGGCCUAAAUGUGGUUCUUAUCUGCUUCUUAUCAUGGGUAAGAGCAGAGCCUGCACUCUGGAGGCCAGAGUGCAGAUACUGGCUCUGGCUUAUUAACUGCAACUUUGGGAAGUUACUUAACCUCUCUGUUUCAUCAUUUGUACCUUAGAAUGUUGCUGUGAGCACUAAACUACAGUGCCCAACACACAGUAACAGUUGAAUAGAUGUUAGCUGUUUUUAUUGCUACUCCUACCAAUAAAUUUUUUUUUGCUACAACUGGUCACCAAGCAAAGAACAGAGCAUGGCCAGUGUAUGGAGAAUCAGAUUUCAAGGGCAGCCCAUAACACGCUCACAAAACACAGGGAUAUUGUUUGUUUAUCUCUUCUAAGAUCUCAAGGCACUUAAAAGUCUCAACUUAUCAAUUUUCACAGGACUUUCCUGACAUAGGUUGGAAUCCAUUAUAAUCACCCUAGGGAGGGGUUAAUGACCUACUCAAGGUUACUUGCCAGGGUCAACCACUGGCUAGGAAUAGAAAUUGACUCUGCAGUCACCCCCUUUGUCUUAAUAACUUCCUCCCUAUGUGGUUUUGGCAAAGACAAAACACCCGAGAGUGAUGCAGCAACUGGAGUGAAGGUCAAAGAACAGCAUCUGGGUUUAGCACAGCCUUGAUGAGGCCUUUUUUCCUUUCAUCUUCCCACAAACAGGCUUGUAUAUCCAGCAGCCUCCUGUCCCUCUCUAAGUACCUCAAAAUAGUAUUCCUUGACCUCCCUUCAUCCAGGAGAUGCCAAGGAGGGGAAAGCAGAUGCAUCUGAGAUGCCAAAGAAAGGUUCUCACACACAGACUCCUUGCCCUUGGACGUGUUUGCAUCCUCACAUCCUUCUCAUCCUUACAUUCCUACUGCUGCAGUCAUAGCAGCUCCUAGGCUCUGCCUUGGACAGAACCCACAGUUCCCUUGAAGGAACAAGUUCUCUGCAGCCGGGCCCCUGCCCCAACAUCCAGGGACCAUGUUGGUCACAGUCCUAUUUACAGCUUCCAGAGCAGUCAAGUACAGAAAACCAUGUAACAAAGCCACUGAGAAGACCCAUCCUGGUGUGUGCACACAUGUGUGUUUUCAAUCACCCCUCUGCCUUCCCUCUCCAGUUACUCGGAUCUCCUUGCUUUCAUCAUGAGAACAGUGAAUUAUUUAUGGAGUAACAUACUGCACUCAGGGUCUCCCAUGAUCAUGCAGAUUGUGACCGCCCUGGGGAAUUUACUGCCUAAGUCAUUCGGAGAGAAUGGGCAAAUGAGGCAUAAGGUGAC